AAGUUUGUGGUGAAAACAUUUAGUCUGCUCAGAGCAGACAUCUUGACCCUCGUUCUAGGGUUAAUGAGCUUGUCUGCUGACGUUCUCAGCGUUCUUGGAGCAGCCGUAACAGUCUGCUCUUCUACUGAUGUGACAGGUACUUAUGAAUUACCUGUCAAUACACUGUCAGAAAAUUAAAUAAGAGUUUCUGUUGGAAGAGAAGAAUGGGUUUCCAAAAAUAUUUCUAGUUCUGUCAAGUCCUCAGAAUUUAUCUGGACUUGUAACUCUUGAAGUAGCUUACAGAAUAUAAGAUAAAUGAGUAUGAAGUAUGCUGCAGCUGAGGAAUGGGGAUGGCUAUCUCUAAUCAGUUGGUUACUCCUGAUAGUGAGGUAGCAGCUAAACUAAAUACAGCAAUAAGCAUGGUAUUGGCAUAGUAUCUAAAAGAGGAAAAACUAUUCCAGUACGUGGUCCCUGCUGUCACUUAGCAGCCAUAAGAAAUAUCUAAGCAUACUAUCUUCAUCAUUGACUAAUAAUAAAAGUCUAUAACAAAAUGCCGUGGCUCUUGUAGGAGCUCUCACCUACCAAAUCAGUGAUAUCCACAUUAAAAAAAAAACAAAUGCAAUGACUUAUUUCAGAAAGGGUUUGGAGAGAACAGUGCCAUCUUUUCCAUGCACACCGUUACCCAUGUCCAGCACAGUAAUACUUCCCAAAUUCCCAGCCCUGGACAUCCUUCAUCACUACCUGAGGUAGAGUGCCAUGAAAUGAUUUUUUGAGAAAGCAAGCGGAUUCAGUUUUUCCUACCUGCGUUAGUGCCCUGCUAGAGCAUCAGCCACAAUGUCUAAGAAACGUAAACGGUACUUUCAUUGUCAUAUACAGCAGCCAUUGCUUUUAUGUCUUGCAAAAGUAGAUGGAAAUGUUUUCUCCUGUCAUUUUACUUCAGCUAAGUCAUUUUGAGUCUUGCUGUUGUCAUCCAUUACACAUUCUUGCCUGAUCUCUGCCUCCUAGCUAUUCCUGCUGGUGAGCUUCUCCCUGGAACCCAGAAAUGUGAGUCAGAUCAAGGCUUUUACGUAAUCUCCCAAGUUGCCAGCACCCAAACAUAAAGCCUUGGAUGUUCUUGGCCCUACUCCAGUUGCAGGUACUCAGACUUCUUAUCCUGUGCACUGGCUACUCACUAGCUUAUCUUAGCAAAUGGAGGUUUACUCCUCUUCACACAUGCCCACUCAGAACAGAGCACACCCACACAGGAUGUAGAUGGAAGUAGGAUCAAUGAGAAGAUACAAUAGCUUGUGCUGCUCAAGCGCAGGUCUGUCAGACAACAUACCGACCAGCAGCCUCUUUGCAUGCAGCUGACUCCCUGUAGCCCCGUUCCCUCUAUUUUCCUGCACCUGAUACUUCUCGAGCCUUCCUUUUCCCCACCUUUGGUCCUUCUUUUAAACAUCCUGUAAGUCUCAUCAAUUCGCAGAAACACCUUAAACCAUCUCAUACUACAUUUUAAAUCUCCAGAACUUGUUUUCCCCUGCAUCCUAUAUUCUGCUGUAGGCAAUGACCCCCUUCAGUCUCCAAGCCAUACAGGAAGGGAGUGUUUCUCCUUGUCCCAUCUCAGUGAGUUUCACCCCAGAGCAACAGGCUUAUCGUCCUGCUUUUAUCGCCCUAAGAGUAGCAACUUGCUUGACUCCUACCACUGCUCAGGUUACUAGAGCUCCUUCCUUGUCAUUGUUCAUCUGAUCCUCAGCUGGGCCUUUGUGUUUAUGAUGAUUAGCCUGUAAUCUUAUAACCUAACGUCACAGGUGCAUGCUUUCUCCUGCGCUGCUGCACUAGACCAAAUACUAGCUCAGAUGCGAAUGGAUAAAUAUUUGCUGGGGUAGAGUGGAACCGGAAUUCUUCAGCUGAGGAAUACCAUACCAUGGAGAUACACGCUAGGCUGUGAACAAACUUGUCAGCCCUGCACAAAACUGUGGGAACACUCAGGUUGGAGUGGUGGUAGAAGGAUAUCGUGGAGACUCAAAGCAUAUGUGAAUGCUGGACCUACUGAGGCUUAGACAAGUCACCUCAUCUCACUGAAGGAUCCCAUCAAAACCCUCGUUCCUUUAGGGAGGUUUGAGAAAGACAGCCUAGCAAGAUCACACCACAGUGGCUCCAAGUCAAUGCUGGAGCCUACGACAUGGCACAGAUCAGUCUUCCAGAAGACAUCCUGACCUCACCCAAAUGGCAAGACGGAGAAUUCACGGGCUUCUGCUGUGACUGACGGUGACAUUUUCCUUAGUUGCCUUCCUUGUUCCUCAUCUCACCUGCUUAGUUUAACCUUCCAGCCUCUUAAGUGGCUGUGAGGGAAGGAAAUGGCCCUAUUUGUGCACCUCCUGAAGCAUCUGAGUAGCACAUUAGGCACAGCUUGGGCAGGCGCAUGACGGUGCUGGAUGCUUGGCAAGUGGUCUUGUUUCCUCCAUACCCCCUCCUUUGGGUUAAUGUCCCUUCUUUUCAUGCCAGGCCACCCAUGGGCUUCCUCCCAGGGACGGCCUCCUGGAGGUGGCCCUUUCCCACCCCGCAGGAUGGGGCCGUGCUGUGACUGCCCGUCUGUGGGGAGGGACACCUACCACCCGCUGUGCAUGCCCCCAGCAGGGGUGGUCCCAGGCAGCCGGAGCCUCGAGAUGUGGCUGCUCUGGGGUUGCUGCCCUCACCCUCCCAAGCCAAGCAGCAGAGCUCCUUCCCUAAGGGCUGCAUCGCCUGCCCAGGCAGCAGCGAGGGCUGCAGCAGCAGCAGGGAGGUCUGGCUCCCCUGCUCUCUCUCUUCAUUCCUUUUCCUCUGCAGGUAGGUUAGGACAGGGGAAAAUAAAAUACUCAUAAAAGUUCCCGAUAUUUGGAAUAACAGAAUCAUAGUUUUACAAGUUAUCUUAGGAGAUUCUGAAUCAUGAACAAUUAUUUUCUUCAAGCAUCUCCACACCUUCGUCUCCCACCCUCACAUCAACAGACACUCUGCUACCUCCCUGUGAGCAGCGAUGCACCUGUGCUGCAGCUGACAUUCAACUUGGGAAAUUUCUUGUGUUUAAUACUGAAAUCAACCUCCCCCAGACAUUUAACCUUCUCUCCCCAUAAUGCAUCCUGGAGGAAAUCAAGAAAAAUCCAUUUAGAGGAAUCACGGUGUUACCUGAAGUAUGCAUGUACCAAUCUGUAUUUUUGAACAUGAAAAUAAAGUAUUUUUUGCCUUUCCCUUCUGUUUUGUUUUAGAGAGAAUGACACUCAGAAUAGAUACAAGCAUUUGACUAUUCCAAAUACUUUAAAAACAUCAGUAAGUUGAAGAAAUUUACUGAACUUACUACUGCAACAAUGAAACAGGACAAGGCAGCUUUGCAGUAAAUAGAAAUGACAACAUAGUCCCAAAAUAUUGUCCAAAAAUCCUGUCCCAAAUAGGAGUUUUCCUAUUUUAUUUUCUUAUUCUUUUUCACUUUUGGCAGGUUCUUUUUUGGAUCAGGUCAACAUAAUCAUUAAAUAAAAUUUUAUUUUAUUUUAAAUUUAAAUUUUAGAUUUUCCUGGACAAUCUAAUAUUUUAUUUACUAAACAGCAUUAUAUUAUUUACAAGUGCUACAUCUUAUUCUGCCUAUGUUAUAGAGUAUUAGCCAGCACUCUUAAAAUUUUAAGCUAAAUUCUGAUUUACCUGGUUUGAGUCUUAAGAAAUGUUGUUGAACUGAAGUACAAUUGUAAAUAAACCAGUAUCAGGCGAUCCAG